GAUGAACGCUAGCGGCAGGCCUAAUACAUGCAAGUCGAACGGGAUCCAGAUCAAAGCUUGCUUUGGUUUGGUGAGAGUGGCGUACGGGUGCGUAACGCGUGAGCAACCUACCCUUGUCAGGGGGAUAGCCCGGCGAAAGUCGGAUUAAUACCGCAUGACAUCAUUGAGAGGCAUCUUUCGAUGAUCAAAGAUUUAUCGGACAAGGAUGGGCUCGCGUGACAUUAGCUAGUUGGUAAGGUAACGGCUUACCAAGGCUACGAUGUCUAGGGGCUCUGAGAGGAGAAUCCCCCACACUGGUACUGAGACACGGACCAGACUCCUACGGGAGGCAGGAGUAAGGAAUAUUGGUCAAUGGACGGAAGUCUGAACCAGCCAUGCCGCGUGCAGGAAGACGGCCCUAUGGGUUGUAAACUGCUUUUAUACGGGAACAAACGUCGGUACGUGUACCGGUCUGAGUGUACCGGAAGAAUAAGGAUCGGCUAACUCCGUG
rnacentral:rRNA from 1 species